UGGGGAAUUUUGGACAAUGGGCGCAAGCCUGAUCCAGCCAUGCCGCGUGCGGGAAGAAGGCCUUCGGUUGUAACCGCUUUUGNCAGGGAGAAAUCUUCUGAGUUAAUACCUCGGGAGGAUGACGGUACCUGAAGAAUAAGCACCGGCUAACUACGUGCCAGCAGCCGCGGUAAUACGUAGGGUGCAAGCGUUAAUCGGAAUACUGGGCGUAAAGCGUGCGCAGGCGGUUUUGUAAGACAGAGGUGAAAUCCCCGGGCUCAACCUGGGAACUGCCUUUGUGACUGCAAGGCUUGAGUGCGGCAGAGGGGGAUGGAAUUCCGCGUGUAGCAGUGAAAUGCGUAGAUAUGCGGAGGAACACCGAUGGCGAAGGAAUCCCCUGGGCCUGCACUGACGCUCAUGCNCGAAAGCGUGGGGAGCAAACAGGAUUAGAU
rnacentral:rRNA from 1 species